GGAGUCUCUGCUUGUAAUAUCGUUUUGUUUCGCGGGUAAAGUACAAUUCAGACCUCGAUUAAAGCGUUGGAAUUAUUAAAAUCAUGGCUGGAUCGGGAGAUUGUUGGUUUUACGGAUAUCUCUUGUUCAUUUAUCGUGUUUUGCACUUAAACAGCUUUUAACGCCUGCCAACCGAACGGGAUAUGUAUCGUUCCGAACGACUUGAUUUUUAUUUAUUGCGAGGAAAACGUGUCUCUUCGCUGCGUCAUCCUUAUGGCUUCGAAUUAUAAUGGUGUCCUCGCGUGUCGUUGUACCAUAAAAUUGAACACCAUUUAAUCUUCACUGCUGUCCACUACUUCCUAGUCGGUUUCGAUAAACCACGGAUUUACGGUCUUGUUCUUCUCACCGUGACUCGACCACUUCGCGUGGAUUCAUUUAACUCGAGCUUAAUGUUCAUUGUUAAACAGGAUCAUUUGACAGGGAUAUGAUUAUUUAGUGAUUCCGAUAAUUUUAAGUAAACCGAAAUAAACAUACCGGUUGAAUGCGAAAUGAUUGCGGGUCGUCGAGCAAAGAUUAAUCAUGGUUCCAGGGAAUUUUCGUCGCGCCGCCCACGUUCGUUCGCGCCUCCAGCCACAUUCCAGCUCUGACGUAAUAAAUACACGAUUUGUAUAAUUUUGAACGCGACCGUGGACCGGGCUUUUUCCUACGUGCCAUUUGCAUUGUGUCGACACGCAAACACGACGUUCUUGGCCCGUUACGUUAUCCCCGAGGCUGAAGGAACGUCUUCAUUCUUGAACAAUAACCUUACCUACGAAAUCGAGCUUAUUUAAAACAAGAUCAGUGUAACAUGAGCGAUGAAACGUUUGAAAUAGUUUGUCGAACAAGAUUUUUCCUCCAAGAUAGAAUACAUUCUUCUCGGUCCAUUGAGAAAAACGUUGCACUGGACGCUUGAUAGUCUGUCAACGUCUUUUACGAUUGACACGGUGCGUAUGGAAAAUCGCGGCGUUAGGUCGCAACGCAUGAAACUCGCGGGAUUCGUCGGCGAGGAAAGCGAGGAACAGCGAGAGGAAGGAGCCUCGACGAGGGUCCGAGGCCGAGUCGAGAGACGGGACGACGCGACGCGGUGGCAUACCGUCGAAGGCUUCGUUGUUGCCCAUCCCGGGAUUACGUACCUUGGUCGUAGACCUUACUCGAGGCGAGCUCGUGCUCGUAGCUGGUUGCAUAACAUCCGAGGCUCCUCGGUGGCCGCUCAUUGCCGCGCGACCACGAUUCACAGUAAUACUUUGAGCAUCCCACUUAACUGGAACCGCGACGAAAGGUUACGGGGAUCGCGAUAGAUAGCGGCGUUAUCUGCUUGCAACAACGUUUGUACAAACAGUUAAGUGUUUACAAAUGAUAAGAAGUUCGAAUGUUUCGAAUAGCAAAAAAAAAGUUGUCGAGUGAAAGAUUGCAAAUCAAUGGCUCGUGGCGUGGACAAGUGGAAGCUUAGACUGAUUAAUUCAUGGCUAUAUUUGAAAGUGACGCUUCAAAGUGUUUUUUUGAAGUGCCGAUGAUUGAGAUUUCGACCGUGUAUCAGCAAAAAAUGAAUCGUCGAUUAAUUUAUCUUUUAAAUGCAAUUGCAUUUUUUUUCAACCGAUUUUUUUGUUCAAAUCAUUUAGCCUUUCUGACAGUAUGUAUUCCAGUUCGAAAAAAAUCAGAAUCUAUUAUUUAAAAGUAAACAACAAGGUCAUUUGUUUAAAUAAUUUCGAAACAGAAUACUAUUAUGUACACAAGAUAUUAUAAAUAAACACACUUGUCUCAAAAAGCGUAUCUUGCAUGGAACAGAGGAAGUGACUGUAAACAACCGGGGUUUCUAUCGUUUCGAAACUUUCUCCAAAGUCAUCUGAAAUCUUUCUCCUGUUUGUUCAAAUUCGUCGAAUUGAAAGCCACCGAAGAGAAUAGUCGAACGUUUGCCAGCAAUGAAUGCGAUACUUUCUUCAUCGUGACUGCCCUUUCGAGUUGGCAAAGGUGCUUCAUGGGAGGUACCGACUCGAAUAGCUGGUUAAACACCAUGGUAGGACAGAAUAGUCGAAGAAAGUAUCCUCCUCCUGGCUUCUCAUCUGGGAUCAUAAUGACUCUUGAGCGUUGUACUGCGUUCCUAAACGCGUUGACAACACAAUGAGUUGUAUUCAAAACUCAUUGACGGUCGUGACGAUCGAAGAAUGUUUGAGUUCGAAGACGAAUGAAUUUCACGUGUGGGCGAGAAGAAAGUUAAAAAUUUGUAUUCAAUCAAAAUUUCCAAAUGAAAGUUUGGCUCGUUCCAAAUACAUCGUUCGUCAGAAUCUGUCAACAUUUUUAAAUACCCCUACGUAAAAUGAUGCACUUUGCUCAUGGUAUAUGAAUUCCUAUGGGUGCUUGCGAAAUGCAGUUUCGAAAAGCAGCUAUUAAACAACGUUUGUUACAUACAUUUAUCGACUCUCCUCGCCGCAGAACAUCGUACUGUAAAUUAUCAACUUACAAAGUAACACAGCAAUCAUGCUAAGUACCCGUACCUCCACUGACUGUUCUAUUAUUUACGAGCCUCCUAUUCCUUUGUGUAAUUCAUUUGGAAAGUAAAAUAAAGUCGUAGUGCAGUUGGUAAUGAUAAAAAAACAAACAAGGCAGAGAAGUGGUAUUAGAAACAUUCGAGAUCCUCGUGCAAACAGCAACACAUUAUUUCGCGAAUCGAAUCAGCGAAGACAAACCGGUAGAAGAUAUCAUCAGCAUCUGUUUUCUUUCUCUCUCUGAUUGUGUAUGCCUUGCGAAAUUCCAGUUUCCAUGGUGGAGCAACAGUUCAUCCAGCCGUGGCAGAUAACUGAACCAGUCGUCAUUAAUUGCUCUGUACGCGGCGUGUUACACUUUGUUCCACGGGAAUCUCGCUUAUUACCAUCCUCGAUUUGCAUUUCGUCUCGUUUAUGCGCUCGGCGCGCGACCUAAUCCCCCUCCAAGCCGCGUAAUUGCUCUUUUACGUAAUCAGGAAUCUUUACGAUAGCCAGUCGAACGUACAAGCAACACCCGGGCGGGAUUUUCACGCGCUUCGAAAUCACCAAUUCGCGUGAUGAACGAACUCGUAAACCCUGUUAACACUCGUGUACCUUUUCGCGUUUACGACGGCGUUACCUUACCGUUCGUAUUUUUACGAGAUCUCGCUAUCUAUCGCGGCCCUCGAGCGGCCGCUUGACGGACAGGUGAAACGGAAAAAUGAGACAGGCAGAUGAGGCAAUCGACGAGAUUUCGUGAGAUACGCUUUUGUAUUUUGAACGUUCACUUCGUUGCAAAAAUCAGUCUCCUUCUCUUUUUGCUGGCCGAUUUGAAUAAACGGCAAUGCUGUUGAUGAAACGCGUCAAAUUUGGCGAGAUAUUAAUUUUAAAAAGAAGUCUCGUAUGUUUAUCCGAGAUCGAAACCUUCCUUGGUUACAAAAAAAAAAAAAAAAAAAAAAAAAAAAAAAAAAAAAAAAAAAAAAAAAACAA